rnacentral:rRNA from 1 species
CAGUAGCCACGGGAAUACGAAGGGGGCUAGCGUUGCUCGGAAUCACUGGGCGUAAAGGGUGCGUAGGCGGGUCUUUAAGUCAGGGGUGAAAUCCUGGAGCUCAACUCCAGAACUGCCUUUGAUACUGAAGAUCUUGAGUUCGGGAGAGGUGAGUGGAACUGCGAGUGUAGAGGUGAAAUUCGUAGAUAUUCGCAAGAACACCAGUGGCGAAGGCGGCUCACUGGCCCGAUACUGACGCUGAGGCACGAAAGCGUGGGGAGCAAACAGGAUUAGAUACCCGCGUAGUCCCUGUCUCUUAUAC